UACAGAGGUCUCAAGCGUUGUUCGGAUUCAUUGGGCGUAAAGGGUGCGUAGGUGGCGCUGUAAGUCGGGUGUGAAAUUUCGGAGCUUAACUCCGAAACUGCAUUCGAUACUGCCGUGCUUGAGGACUGGAGAGGAGACUGGAAUUUACGGUGCAGCGGUGAAAUGCGUAGAUAUCGUAAGGAAGACCAGUGGCGAAGGCGGGUCUCUGGACAGUUCCUGACGCUGAGGCACGAAGGCCAGGGGAGCAAACGGG
rnacentral:rRNA from 1 species